AGAGCAGUCCGCUACUAUGCUGUGGAACUGAAGAGAGAGGAGGCAAGCAGCAGGCCUGGCUACUUGCACCAUGGCCAGCUGCCACCACCACUUGGGGUACCUGGCGGAAGAUGAGGCUGGCCACAGCACGUACAUGGCUGGAGUACUACCACCCAAGAAGCCACUGUUGCCAGAAAUGGGACCAGCCUCCAAGCUGGGUCGUGUGCCACACCCACCAUCAGUGGAUGGCAGUUCAGCACACCAGGGCUACUGCCAAGCCCCUAAGAGACCUCAAACUUCUGGUAGCUUCCUAGAUUUCCUGACAGAGGGCCAGAUGCUGGACAGUCUGCAGACAGUGGUGAAAGAGGCAACCGAACUCAUAGCCAGCAUGAAGACAGAGGCUGGGGUGCCACUGGUGGAUGUGCAGGACUCCACAGAAGUGCCAAGUGGGAAGCGGUGGGUGUGUGCCCGACCCAACUUCAGCACUGUAAAGCAGCACCAUGUUCGGCCCACCCUCUGCACUGGUCACCCCAAUAAUUACCCAUCCUGCUCCAGCUCCAUGUCUGACUCCCAUAGUAGCCUCACAGCUGGCCAUCUGGGCUCCCACAGCCGGGACAGUGACCUAGGUCCCCGAGGCUUAGGCUCAUUGCCACCCAUGAGAGACAGACUCCUGCUGGAGAAAAACCUCAAGCGGUUGGUACAGCUGGAGAACAAUGGGAAAGGCUGGAGUCAGUCCUGUUCCCAGAGGGACUCCUUGCUGUGGAACUCACUAGGCAGCCAAACCAGUAGCCAGUAGACCCAGGAACAGCCCCUGUCCUGGUUCUCAGGGCUGCUGGGCUCCAGCUCAGGGACCCCUGAAGCAUCAGAACUGGGACCUGGAGAACGGGAGCUGAUUUUCCUCAAAGAAAAGUUCAACAAGAAGAGGGAAGUCCUUGCUGAGCCAGCCAGCACCCUUUGACCUGCGUGGCUACUGUGUUCUCCAUGAGCCCCAUCGUACCCUGGACUUCCUGGCCAAGCACCACCUCUACCGUGUUCUGCAAAGUGUGGUCAGCCAGGCUUCAGACAAGCUCAGGGGCACCCGCUUCCAUGAUGGCUGCCCUCUCUUCCCUACCAAUUCCCAGCCCACCUCAGCACUCCCAGUUAACCACAAUCAGGGGCUACCAGACUCCAAGCCAGCUGAGGGGGAGGAGCCCUGUGAUUCUCUUCACACCACAGUCUCCAACCCCAAGUUACCUCACAGAAAAAGCAAGAAUGAAUUGUGCUCCCCUGUAUCUAGUGCCCAGAUGGCCAACAGAUUCAAGCUCAAGAACUCCAACACCAAGUUCACAAAGAAGCCACUGCCUUCCUUCUCGCCAAAGUCCAGCUUGUCCCACCUCUCCAACCCGUUUUGAGGAGAUCAUCAACUUCUUGGUGGAGCAGGCAAUCUCCUUGCUCACUCUCAAGUACAAGUACGAGAAAAACCUCAAUAAGCAGCUUGGCUUCAUCUCCUUUCCUGUCACCGAGGCUCUCAUGUACGUCUUCCUGGGCUUCAAGAAGGUGAAGGGCUCCCAAAUUCUUCUGUCCUCAGAGAUGUACUGGAGCUGCCUGAUGUGCAAGCUGCAGCAGGCCGAGUGGACACUGCAGGCCUCAAGGCAGGCCUCCCACGUGCACAGCUCCCAGGCCAGUAGCAGCUCCUUGAAGCCUGGCUCCCACAGGGUUCGCAGCUUGCUGCUUGGUGCCUCCCAGCACAGCACAAAGUCUUCAUCCAUUUAG
rnacentral:lncRNA from 1 species